AGCACCUGGUGGGAAGGCAGGGCCAACCCAGGAGAGCUCAGCUGCAUGCAAUACACCUGAGUAAUUGGAAGGGGUGGAGGCAGGAUCUAUUCCUUCUACGACCUCAUUUAAGGGUUGGUAGUGGAGGCAAGGGCACCUCUUGCUGUGUAUCCCUGUCUACCUGAGGCCUGCUAAAGGUCCCCAGGAUCAUACGGGGAGCAGACAUGAUGGCACUGAGCUACGCAGGACCAUACAGCCUCCACUACAAGAUGUUUGUGAUUUGCCAUCCAUCCCAGCCCCAUAUCCCUGUGCCCAGGGCUCACUUAUAAGAGCUUGUGGUCUGGAAGAGGAGACUGGAGAGGGUUGCAGGUGUGUAAUGGAUACAGGAGAAGCAAAAUUAACAGGAAAUGGCUUCUGUCUUGGGAGAUGAGGUGCCAGACUGACCUUCUGCCUUGCUGUCAUCUACCAGUGGGCAGGCUGUCCUCAGGGUGACCGUGCUCAGCUCAGAGUGUCUCCCUCGUGUGUCCACUGCAUACAGAGUGAACCUGGAAAGCAGGAAGGGAAAGAAAAAUGUCUUUAUCUCCUGGUCUGACACCACCAGAUUGUUAUGGGAGCUGACUUCAUGAGAAGUGAAAAAUGUGGUCCUGGCUCCCAUCAGUCACUUCUGGCAUCUCAAGGGGAUGCAAGAUGUCUCUGGCUAAGAAUAGGAAAGCAAAUAGCAAGAGGAGGCAUGGGGGUAGGUCACAGCAUCCCCGUGCACCAAGGGUGGGCUGCGUGCCAUGAGUUGGAGAAGGAUGCACACAGCUCUGCAUGAGGUGCCGUGCACCCAUGCAAUGCAGUAACAUUGCAGUGCUUGCACCUCCCUGCAGUAAUUCUGCCCUAAGUAGGAUCUGUGCUGACAAGCGACAGCUCGCACACAUCCUGCAAAAGGCCCUUGAGGUUGUUUUCUAGAUCAUUUCCUCACCAGGGUGUGGCUGGUAAAAGGGUGGGAAUGAUAAUUUCACACUUGAAGCUAAUGGAGAGCAUCUGACAGUAAAAUACAGCUUUUGUGCUGGAUAGAGCACUGCAUAAACAGGCUGUGGCUGCACGGGAUGUCCUGUGAUGCUAAGCUCAGAGCUGUGCUCACAAUAUCAAAGCUCCAAAAUGAGAAUGCUUCUUUGCAGUGGGGGCAAUAAUUUUUGCCCACUCUUCCAGAAGGUAUAGAAUGGUAUUUACCCAGCCCAAGCCAGGCAUAGAAACCAAAGCUGCUUUUGGCACAGGGUGGGAGCUGGGCACAGAGGUCCCUGAAACAACACAGCUCUACAGUUGUAAGCUGAAAGGGGAUUGAGACCCCAAGGCAUGUUUACUUAAGGAGUGAUCCUGACUCUCAGCAUCCUCAUCAGGGACAACAGUGAUGCCUGCCUCCUCCUCACUCCCAAUCAGUGGGCUGCUCCCACAUCCCACCAGCAGCUGAUAAGAGCUGACAUCUGCAUGGUAGCAAUUCCCACAUGGGAUGUGCUCUCUCCAAGCAAUUAGCAUUAGCUCUGUAACAAUAUUUGCUGACUGAAAGGAUGCCAGCAGACUGCCAAGGAACACACUUGUGCAUAGGGACAAAGCUGGGGCAGGCAGGAGAUGCAAAUGCUGCGCUUGCCUAAGGAGAUGCUAUUUAAUUCUUUGGCAUGACA